GAAAUAUCUGCCCUACCCCCAUAGCAAAGCAGCCUGUCUCUUGCAAGUCGAAAUUUCACUCCCAAGAAUCCAAACUUCAAAUUUCAAGUUAUAUUUGAUGGAAAAAGAAGAUGUAAGUUUAAAUUUUAAUAGAAUCUACAAAAAGAAAAUCUGAUCCAUAUUGCGUUGCUGGGUAUUUUCAUUUUUCUUUGUAAAUUUCAAUUUUUUGUCCUCAAACUUUUGCUGCAAAUCUGAUCCACGUGUGUUGCUGGAUGUUUCCAUUUUAUUUGUAAAUUUCAAAUUUCUGUCAUCAAAUUUUUGCUGCAGAUCUUAUCCAUAUGUACGUUGCUGAGUGUUUCCAUUUUAUUUGUAACUUUCAAUUUUCUGUCCUCAAAUUUUUGCUGCAAAUUUGAUCCACAUGUGCGUUUCUGGGUAUUUCCAUUUUGUAAUUUGAUGUGUGCAUAUGUUUGGUUGAAUUUCACAGUUCUAGUUCUUUGGUUUAUGGAAUUUUUAUUAUUUUAUUUAUUUAUUUAUUUUUUUUGUAGAUUCCAUUAAUUGUACGUUGAUCAAUUGUUGUAAUUUAAUUAGCUAAUUAGCUUUGUAAGCAUGCUGUAAAUCUCAAUUGUCGUCAUGAUUCUUUUUGUAGCUUUGUGAGCAUGCAGUAAGAUUUUUUUAUGAUUGAUUGUUGUAUUUAUUGUUUCAAAUUCAUAUUUCACUAUGUAUGAUCUAGAAUUUGUG
rnacentral:lncRNA from 1 species